rnacentral:rRNA from 1 species
UGGGGAAUAUUGCACAAUGGGCGCAAGCCUGAUGCAGCCAUGCCGCGUGUGUGAAGAAGGCCUUCGGGUUGUAAAGCACUUUCAGCGGGGAGGAAGGCGUUAAGGUUAAUAACCUUGUCGAUUGACGUUACCCGCAGAAGAAGCACCGGCUAACUCCGUGCCAGCAGCCGCGGUAAUACGGAGGGUGCAAGCGUUAAUCGGAAUUACUGGGCGUAAAGCGCACGCAGGCGGUCUGUCAAGUCGGAUGUGAAAUCCCCGGGCUCAACCUGGGAACUGCAUUCGAAACUGGCAGGCUAGAGUCAUGGAGAGGGGGGUAGAAUUCCAGGUGUAGCGGUGAAAUGCGUAGAGAUCUGGAGGAAUACCGGUGGCGAAGGCGGCCCCCUGGACAAAGACUGACGCUCAGGUGCGAAAGCGUGGGGAGCAAACAGG